CGAGAUACAGGCGUGCACCCCGGAGAGGACAGGCUGAGGACCCUCAACAGAGACAGGAAAACCUGCCCGUCACUGAGAAAUGGUUGGAAAAAACAUGAGUAAAAGCCUCACUCUUAAGAAUCCUGGAAGAGUAGCAUACGAUUCAGGCGGGAUAAAGAUGUUUUGGGAGAAAAAAAUCGAGCAUCACGCAAGACACCUGCAGAACGAGGACAUCAGGGUUCGCAGAAGCGCUCUGAACAAGCUCCGCGUGGGAUGGGCUGAGCAGCUGGAGGGGAGGAACAAGAUGCUGCAGGGCCCAGGGAGAUGCCCAGACAGGGUCCCGGAGGCCACUGAGUCCCUCCACACCAAGGACAAGAAGGCGGCCUGAGGGCCCACGAGCUCCAGACUCUGCAUGAGCUUCCGGAGGGUCAUGGAGAAGGAACACCACGCGUGGGGUCCAAGCAUCCACGCCAGAGUUCACAGGAUCUUCAUCAUGGAAAUGGCCCGCACCUCGCUGACCCCGUAAUAAUCCCACCUCGGGGUCCACGCUGCAGCAGAGUCCCAGGGUUCUCUAGCGCAUCUCUGGUGCCCAAUAAAACCUAAGUCAAUUGGAUUG
rnacentral:lncRNA from 1 species